rnacentral:rRNA from 1 species
UACGUAGGCAGCGAGCGUUGUUCGGAGUUACUGGGCGUAAAGGGUGUGUAGGCGGUUUGGUAAGUCUGGUGUGAAAUCUCCCGGCUCACUGGGAGGGUGCGCCGGAAACUGCCGGACUAGAGUGCGGGAGAGAGAGUGGAAUUCCUGGUGUAGCGGUGAAAUGCGUAGAUAUCAGGAGGAACACCGGUGGUGUAGACGGCUCUCUGGACCGUAACUGACGCUGAGACACGAAAGCGUGGGUAGCAAACAGG